AGUGAACGCUGGCGGUAGGCCUAACACAUGCAAGUCGAACGGCAGCACAGUAAGAGCUUGCUCUUACGGGUGGCGAGUGGCGGACGGGUGAGGAAUACAUCGGAAUCUACUUUUUCGUGGGGGAUAACGUAGGGACACUUACGCUAAUACCGCAUACUACCUACGGCUGAAAUCAGGGGAUCUUCGGACCUUUCGCGAUUGAAUGAGCCGAUGCCGGAUUAGCUAGUUGGCGUGGUAAAGGCCCACCAAGGCGACGAUCCGUAGCUGGUCUGAGAGGAUGAUCAGCCACACUGGAACUGAGACACGGUCCAGACUCCUACGGGAGGCAGCAGUGGGGAAUAUUGGACAAUGGGCGAAAGCCUGAUCCAGCCAUACCGCGUGGGUGAAGAAGGCCUUCGGGUUGUAAAGCCCUUUUGUUGGGAAAGAAAAGCAGCAGGUUAAUACCCCGCUGUUCUGACGGUACCCAAAGAAUAAGCACCGGCUAACUUCGUG
rnacentral:rRNA from 1 species